CGAUGAGCUCAUCUUUGUACCACAGAGUCCAGCGUCAUCACCGUCCCAGAGGACACAGUGCUUGCCGAGGAAGUGAACACAGGAUGCUCACAGGUGGUUAUCUGGAGCCCUAACCAGACAAACACUGGAGGCAGUUUCAUACCAGAACAUUCUUGCCUGAGGCAGCUGCUCAGGGAACACUUCUCCCCUCGCCUGCAGCCCACUCCCUGCCCGCUCCCCAACUCUGGAAGAGGAAGUCAUAU
rnacentral:lncRNA from 1 species